CCUACGGGAGGCAGCAGUGGGGAAUAUUGGGCAAUGGGCGCAAGCCUGACCCAGCAACGCCGCGUGAAGGAAGAAGGCUUUCGGGUUGUAAACUUCUUUUAUCAGGGACGAAGUAAGUGACGGUACCUGAUGAAUAAGCCACGGCUAACUACGGGCCAGCAGCCGCGGUACUACGUAGGUGGCAAGCGUUAUCCGGAUUUACUGGGUGUAAAGGGAGGGUAGGGGGGGGUGCAAGUCAGUUGUGAAAUCUAUGGGCUUAACCCCGAACCUGCAUUUGAAACUGUGCUUCUUGAGUGCUGGAGAGGUAAGCGGAAUUCCGUGUGUAGCGGUGAAAUGCGUAGAUAUACGGAGGAACACCAGUGGCGAAGGCGGAUUGCUGGACAGUAACUGACGCUGAGGCGCGAAAGCGUGGGGAGCAAACAGGAUUAGAUACCCGAGUAGUC
rnacentral:rRNA from 1 species